rnacentral:rRNA from 1 species
GACGGAGGAUGCAAGUGUUAUCCGGAAUCACUGGGCGUAAAGCGUCUGUAGGUGGUUUAAAAAGUCCACUGUUAAAGAUUGAAGCUUAACUUCAAAAAUGCCGUGGAAACUUUUAAACUUGAGUAUGAUAGGGGUAGAGGGAAUUUCCAGUGGAGCGGUGAAAUGCGUAGAUAUUGGAAAAGACCACCAAUGGCGAAGGCAACUCUACUGGGCCAUUACUGACACUGAGAGACGAAAGCUAGGGGAGCAAAUGGG